rnacentral:rRNA from 1 species
AUGGCGUGCUCAUACAUGUCACGUCGAGCGAGACUCUUCGGAGUCUAGCGGCGGACGGGUGAGUAACACGUGGGCAACCUGCCUGUAAGACUGGGAUAACACCGGGAAACCGGUGCUAAUACCGGAUAAUCCUUUUCCUCUCAUGAGGAAAAGCUGAAAGACGGUUUCGGCUGUCACUUACAGAUGGGCCCGCGGCGCAUUAGCUAGUUGGUGAGGUAACGGCUCACCAAGGCGACGAUGCGUAGCCGACCUGAGAGGGUGAUCGGCCACACUGGGACUGAGACACGGCCCAGACUCCUACGGGAGGCAGCAGUAGGGAAUCUUCCACAAUGGACGAAAGUCUGAUGGAGCAACGCCGCGUGAGCGAUGAAGGCCUUCGGGUCGUAAAGCUCUGUUGUUAGGGAAGAACAAGUACCGGAGUAACUGCCGGUACCUUGACGGUACCUAACCAGAAAGCCACGGCUAACUACGUGCCAGCAGCCGCGGUAAUACGUAGGUGGCAAGCGUUGUCCGGAAUUAUUGG